UACGUAGGGUGCAAGGCGUUGUCCGGAAUUAUUGGGCGUAAAGAGCUCGUAGGCGGUCUGUCGCGUCGGCUGUGAAAUCCCGGAGCUCAACUCCGGGUCUGCAGUCGAUACGGGCAAACUGGAGUACUGCAGGGGAGACUGGAAUUCCUGGUGUAGCGGUGGAAUGCGCAGAUAUCAGGAGGAACACCGGUGGCGAAGGCGGGUCUCUGGGGCCGUUACUGGACGCUGAGGAGCGAAAGCGUGGGGAGCGAACAGG
rnacentral:rRNA from 1 species